rnacentral:rRNA from 1 species
GGCGUCUUAGCAUGCAGUCGAGCGGCAGGGUGCAGCAAUGCAUUCGAGAGCGGCGGACUGGUGAGUAACGCGUGGGUGACCUGCCUUGAGGAUGGGGAUAGCCGUUAGAAAUAGCGGGUAAUACCGAAUACGUUCGCGUCGUCGAGGCGGCGCGAGGAAAGGGGCUCCGGCCCCGCCUUGAGAUGGGCCCGCGUCCCAUUAGCUAGUUGGGGGUGUAACGGACCACCAAGGCGAAGAUGGGUAGCCGGCCUGAGAGGGUGAACGGCCACACUGGGACUGAGAUACGGCCCAGACUCCUACGGGAGGCAGCAGCUAAGAAUAUUCCGCAAUGGACGAAAGUCUGACGGAGCGACGCCGCGUGGAUGACGAAGGCCGAAAGGUUGUAAAAUCCUUUUGCGGACGAAGAAUAAGCCUGGGAGGGAAUGCCCGGGUGAUGACGUUAGUCCGUGAAUAAGCCCCGGCUAAUUACGUGCCAGCAGCCGCGGUAACACGUAAGGGGCGAGCGUUGUUCGGAAUUAUUGGGCGUAAAGGGCGCGUAGGCGGUUAAGUAAGUCUGGUGUGAAAUGGCGGGGCCCAACCCCGUCACUGCAUUGGAAACUGGUUAACUAGAGUCAUGGAGGGGGAGCUGGAAUUCCUGGUGUAGGGGUGAAAUCUGUAGAUAUCAGGAAGAACACCGGUGGCGAAGGCGAGCUUCUAGCCAAUGACUGACGCUGAGGCGCGAAAGUGCGGGGAGCAAACAGGAUUAGAUACCCUGGUAGUCCGCACUAUAAACGAUGCACACUAGGUGUUGGGCCGAGCGGCUCAGUGCCGGAGCGAACGUGAUAAGUGUGCCGCCUGGGAGUAUGCCCGCAAGGUGAAACUCAAAGGAUGACGGGGCCCGCACAGCGUGAGCAUGUGUUAUCGAUGAUACGCGAGACUACUGGAUUGACA